AAAUAAUCUCCGAGCAAAGCAGCCUAACAGCACAAAGCCAUGGCUGCGCGCCGCCGGAAUGCCUUUCGGGGCAGUUCCACAGGGCCGGACGGGAAACUGCCCGACCUUCCGUUUUUGAAAAGGAGGAUUC
rnacentral:ncRNA from 1 species